UACGUCAACGAAAACUGUUCAUAUCAAGAAACCAGGUGGGCAUUGGCAUCGAAUUGCCAAAGAAAUUGGAAAUGCUUGCAGCUAUUUUUGGUAAAUUUGCAAAUUGACGAAACGUUAUGCAAUUUCAAUUGUCAGUCACUCGGCCCGCGUCCCAGCUGUUCUUCUCAGUGACCUAGUCGUUGCCGUGGCAGACGAGCGUGCGCCAAGGCCCUCCUCCUCUGCACCCUCAGCUCAGCAAUCUGUGUGCAUUGCGCAGCUUUCGUUUUCAAUGGUACUGCCAAUACACACACACACCCUCACACAUACACAGGCGCAGACAAACUAUCGCAGGCACAACCCUGUUGGUAUUGUUUUCUGCAACAGCUGUCGAGCUGCAACUGCCCUCUAUUAUUUUCCUUGUUGCGUAAGAGCUUACACCUCAAAUUGCAAAAAAACAGACGCACACACAUACGAAACAAAACAGCUGAAAAUCAAUAGACAAACAAUCAACAUAUGAAUGUGUGUGUGUGUGCGUGUGUGCUUUACCUUACACCAACGCAUUUGUUCUUGCCUCUGUAUUGGCCACCUUCACGUUCAUGGACAUGGACACAGCUAUACAUACAUAAAUACACAUAUAUGUACAUGCGCGCAUAUAUUUUCCACGCUUCUAUUGCCAAAUUCUAAAUUUAUAAACAUUUUGAGAACGACGCAUUUCUGUAUACAGCCAUAUACA